rnacentral:lncRNA from 1 species
ACGUUUUAAAAACUCUGCUUCAAAACAUGGUAGUCCAGAAGGAACAGAGAAUUGAAGGAAAAAAUAGGCAGAGUUAACGAAAGAAAGCUAUCUGAAGACUUCACUUAUGAAAGUAGAAAAAUGUCAUAUGGAGCCCUGGGAACUCGGCAGAGUAGGGGUCUUUGUACAUAAUGAGGGAUAUUCAGGUUCAACAGGAGAUGACAGAAGAACAAGAUGAUGGAGCAGUGGCCAGUGGGACAGGAGGGUGUGAUUAUGUCAACAACAAAGGCAAACUUGAAGAGCAAAGCGUAGCAGUUAAAGAUGUCUCCGUACAACAGGAACACACAUUUGUGGCAAGAUCAGAAGGAGCUGGGCUUCUAGCAUCCAGGGUGAGCCCUGACCUGGCUGAGAGCAUAGCAACCGGCACACCCUCCUGCUGUGGGAAGAGUCGGCCUCAUAGGUGCCUUCUCCUUGGUUUUCCUCUUCAGAUAUGCAGAAAAGAAGUUCCUUCCAUGUCUGACAGCUUUCUCAAGGUCAGUGGAGUGAUUCUUUUUUUUACAGUAGAAUUUCACUUAUUUUGAUUUCUAAGAGGAAAAAAAAAAUCAAGCCUCAGUGUGUAUUCUCAGAGAUUUGUGCCAGGUCUAUUAUCCGGCCCCACUUCUCAGAGAUCCUUAACUCUGCUGGCCCUGAACAUGGUUUACCAAUGACAAUGGUGCCAGUGAACAGAACUGAGGUAAAGGAAAUUGAUUAAGUCUUGCAAUUAGUAGAAUAGGCUCCAGCUAGCACUGCAAUAGAGUAUAUAUCGAGGUAUUUGGACUGAGAUCAAAUCUUAAUAUCAGGUCUUAAUAUCUUAAGACCUCUACGAAAUGGCCUGGUCUGGAAGGUUAUGCAAAAAUUUCUAGGAUGAGGACUAACUUAUGGGCAUUUGAAUGUUUGAGGUAGUGAGGUGAGAGGAAAUCAUAAUUCAUGAGCUAUUUUCAAACCAGAGAAGUAUUAGAAUAUGCAAAUAAAUGUAUAUGAAUGAGAAAGAGUUUCA